ACACAUGCAAGUCGAGGGGCAGCAUAAUGGAUAGCAAUAUCUAUGGUGGCGACCGGCGCACGGGUGCGUAACGCGUAUGCAACCUACCUUUAACAGGGGGAUAACACUGAGAAAUUGGUACUAAUACCCCAUAAUAUCAUAGAAGGCAUCUUUUAUGGUUGAAAAUUCCGAUGGUUAGAGAUGGGCAUGCGUUGUAUUAGCUAGUUGGUGGGGUAACGGCUCACCAAGGCGACGAUACAUAGGGGGACUGAGAGGUUAACCCCCCACACUGGUACUGAGACACGGACCAGACUCCUACGGGAGGCAGCAGUGAGGAAUAUUGGUCAAUGGACGCAAGUCUGAACCAGCCAUGCCGCGUGCAGGAUGACGGCUCUAUGAGUUGUAAACUGCUUUUGUACGAGGGUAAACGCAGAUACGUGUAUCUGUCUGAAAGUAUCGUACGAAUAAGGAUCGGCUAACUCCGUGCCAGCAGCCGCGGUAAUACGGAGGAUUCAAGCGUUAUCCGGAUUUAUUGGGUUUAAAGGGUGCGUAGGCGGUUUGAUAAGUUAGAGGUGAAAUUUCGGGGCUCAACCCUGAACGUGCCUCUAAUACUGUUGAGCUAGAGAGUAGUUGCGGUAGGCGGAAUGUAUGGUGUAGCGGUGAAAUGCUUAGAGAUCAUACAGAACACCGAUUGCGAAGGCAGCUUACCAAACUAUAUCUGACGUUGAGGCACGAAAGCGUGGGGAGCAAACAGGAUUAGAUACCCUGGUAGUCCACGCAGUAAACGAUGAUAACUCGUUGUCGGCGAUACACAGUCGGUGACUAAGCGAAAGCGAUAAGUUAUCCACCUGGGGAGUACGUUCGCAAGAAUGAAACUCAAAGGAAUUGACGGGGGCCCGCACAGGCGGAGAA
rnacentral:rRNA from 1 species